rnacentral:rRNA from 1 species
AACGAACGCUGGCGGCAGGCUUAACACAUGCAAGUCGAACGCCCCGCAAGGGGAGUGGCAGACGGGUGAGUAACGCGUGGGAACGUGCCCUUCGCUUCGGAAUAGCCCCGGGAAACUGGGAGUAAUACCGGAUACACCGUAUUGGGAAAGAUUUAUCGGCGAAGGAUCGGCCCGCGUUGGAUUAGCUAGUUGGCGGUGUAAUGGACCACCAAGGCGACGAUCCAUAGCUGGUCUGAGAGGAUGAUCAGCCACACUGGGACUGAGACACGGCCCAGACUCCUACGGGAGGCAGCAGUGGGGAAUCUUGGACAAUGGGCGCAAGCCUGAUCCAGCCAUGCCGCGUGAGCGAAGAAGGCCUUAGGGUUGUAAAACUCUUUCGCCGGUGAAGAUAAUGACGGUAGCCGGAGAAGAAGCCCCGGCUAACUUCGUGCCAGCAGCCGCCGUAACAC